rnacentral:lncRNA from 1 species
AAAAACUGGAAUUAAUAGAGAAAGAAGAGGAGGAAAUUGUUUCAGUGCACUCAGAGAAUUCAGAUUCAGACGCGGAAACAAUUCCUGAAAUCAUGGUUGCAAACCCACCACCACCUCCACCACCAGAGAGACUUCUCGGUGACUAUGGUGGAAACAACACUGCGGGUGGUCCUAUGACAAUUGUCAACCAACCGGUUAAUGUAGAACAAUUUCAGCUGCAUCCCAGCACAAUUAAUCAACUCGAAAGGCGGUCCUUUUUUGGAAGAGUGAAUGAAG